rnacentral:lncRNA from 1 species
CCAGUUCCUUCCUCCCAAAUAGCUUCGCCUCCCAGGCCUGAGAUUGCAGAUACUGGUGAUUUACUGGUAAGUAUGAAAAUGGUCAUAUGAGUGACAUUAAUGCUUUUACAUUAUAAUCUAAAUGUCAUAUUUCCUCAUAGGGGUUAGGUGAUUCAACCCAUACUGUGUCGGCAAUAGAGGAGAGCAACGCAUUGGCCUUGGCAAUUCUUCCGACAGGUAAUUAAUCAAAUAGUUCUGUUAUUAAUUAUAUCAUUAGUUCUGAGAAGUGUAUGCAUGCAUGCUGCAGGUGUUGAUAAUUCAACAACUACACAGCAAGAUAGAGGAUUUGAUCCAACAGGAUGGGAACUUGCUCUUGUUACUACAAGCAGCAACAUGACUCCACUGUCUAUGGAGAGUAAUUUGGUUCGUUUCUUAAUCUUUCAUUGAGGAAUCUACCUUUCAUUGGUUGCCACAGUUUUUCCAAAUCAAACAUUUUAGAGAUGCUGUGCUGCUAUGUGCUAUGUACUCUUUUUUGUACAACUUUGUUAAGCUCCUGUAGUUCUACUGUCAAGCUUAACUCAUUUACUGGUUGAAAAGUAAAAACCAGUACACUGGUAUGCUGGUUCACUGCAGUUGAAAACUAGUAGCAAUGAGUAGCUAAUUCCUAUUUUAUCAAAGUGCAAUCACAAAGAAAAGUAAAUUUACUAUUUUGUGGUAACUCGUAUGAAUUACUCUCUAGAGCACCUUUUUGAGAAGCUGUAUUUUGCCUCCUUGAUUGCUUGGGCCAAUUGACAGCACCACUUGCCAUCUACGGAGACUCAAUGAGCUUUCUGGAAUUUUGUAGUAUGGAUAAAACUUCCAGAACAUAUAGGAACUGAGAUGCGCCCAAUCUCAAAUGACUGAUGGUUAUUCCCAUCCACAGCCGUUGGAAAAGCUUCUUAUGAAUGUUCAGUUGAUAGUUGACACUUCAGACAAUACUAGAGGAAAUUUGGGAUUCACAACUCUAUUUCUUGUCAUUUCAUGAAUUGCCAGGUGGCAUACAUUGCCUCAUUGACAUUUGUUGUUACUUUUCUACCUCAUGGCAUCAUUACCAUGGUCUGGAAAGGUGUAAAUCAUUGUAUGGCUCAAUUGAUACUUUCUGCUUAUGCAACAGUCGUUUGGAUUUUGAUAGAACUUGACAGCAUUUCUGCUAACUUUAGAACGUUUGCUAGAUUCUGUAGAUGAAACCCUGCCUAUUUACAGGUUGCUCUCCAUUGGUAAUGAAAUAUGUUCUGGAGUACAGUGUGCAGAUUGAUGAACUAUGACUAAACAAUUAAUUUAUUGUGUGGAGUAUUGUUUAGCUUUUCUCAAAACCAAAAUAUGGUCUUUCUGUGUUCCAAAAAAAGAAUGUGGUUUCGGUAUUACCAACGAUUCUAUUUCAGAUCUUAUUGUGAGGUAUAUAACAUGGAGUCUUUUUCUAUUUGUAGGGUGGUGGAUUUGACAAGCUCACAUUGGACAGCCUAUACGAUGAUGGAACCUACAGGCAGAUGCAGCAACAACAGCUAUACGGCUCAGCCCCUCCCAAUCCCUUCAUGGCAAGCGAUCCCUUCGCCGUGUCAAAUCAAGUAGCUCCCCCACCGUCAGUUCAAAUGGCAGCCAUGGCUCCACAGCCCCAGCAUUUGCCCAUGAUGAUUGAAGCAAAUCCCUUCGGACCACCACAGCAGCAUCACGCGGGCAUGGCUCCUGCAGCAAACCCCUUCCUCGAUGCUGGGUUCGGUGCGUUCCCGGCAGGAAAUGGAAUGCAUCCACAGACCAACCCCUUCGGAGGCGCCGCACAACUUCUCUAGGCAUAUACUUUGCAUUACAUAGAAGAUGUGCAAUCUGUAGAUAUCCAUGCAAGACAAGCAAUUGGCGUGUCUGGAACCGCUUUUCACCGUCAGACCGUUACCAAUCCUAUGUUGCACCAUCUUCAUCUCGCCCUUCCUUAUUAGGCCUUGGCCGCUUGGCCUUUCUUGUGUAGCUUUCCGUUUUGCUGUGGCUGGUUUCCAUCUUCUGACUGGGCCAUUGCACCCUCUCAUUGUAAAGAAAUUUGUUUCGGGCUUUCGGCUGAUGUAAAACUACGUGCAAUAAGCAGCAGAGCAGCAGUCCUGGACCCAACUAACUCAUUCUUUGUCAACCGUCAGCGUUUGUAUUUAGCCUUGAUUAGUUUGUGAAAAGAAAAGUUUUUAGCUACUGUAGCAUAUUUGUGACUAGCAAUUAGUGUCUAAUUAUAGACUAAUUAGACUCAAAAGAUUCAUUCAUAAAAUACAUACAAACUAUACAAUUAAUUAUUUUUUUAUCUAUAUUUAAUGCUCCAUGUGUCUAAGCAUUUGAUGAGAUAGGGUGAAAAGUUUUUAGGUAAGAACUAAACAAGACCUUUGUCUAACUUCUAGCGGGGGAUAUUUGUCUUCGGUCGUGCGAAUAUUUCCGCAAUUGGUCCCAAACGGACAAGAAAACUUUCAAUCCAAUUUGCUCUACCUCUCGGUUCCCUCUUAGUGUCUAUUCCUCGGUAAACAGCCCAUGGGAAUUGUACAAUUGCACACAGGACUUUCUGUCAUGAUUUUCCGGUCGAGCGAACAGGUGGGACUUCUCCUAUACCUACACCUAUUGAAAUAUUUAUCGACUUCUUUUCAUCCAUCUUACUAUGUAUAGCAAAAUAGAUAUAUUAUAAAAAUCAACCAACUUAUAAUUUAAAACAGAAAGAAUAAUCAACAAUUAUCAAUUCUAAAUUAUAAGACUUUUUAGUUUUUUUUAAAAAAUUUACACAUAGCUUUUGCUAUGCACUUAAAUACAGAGUAUACACUAAAGUCUAGAUAUAUAGUAAAACUAAUAUAUAGAGAAAAACUAAAAUGUCUUAUAAUUUGAAAUGGAUCGGAGCAUGAAGUAGGGUCAAGUUGAAGACUUGAAGACCACGAUUCAUUUUAUUCGAAGUAAAUAAUCUAUGGCACACAUUUACAGCCAAAUAGAUAAUGUAUCCUAUGAACAGUGACGUUGUAUAUACCAACAAAAGAGAUAGGGUAUCUAUACCUACUAUAUAAUUUAUUUAUAAACGCCAUGCGAAUGGGGUGGCGGUUAAAAAAGCUUUGCCACGGAAUCCGGCGAGGUCCGGCAAUAAUUGCAAUUAUUAUGGAAAUGGAAAAGGACGCCGGCGCAGUGCAGCAUCCACUCACAGCGGGAGAGGGGACCGGUCCUCCUCACGGUUGAUCGCGCCAUCGCGGUCGGCUCCAUUCCACUGGCCCUCGCGUCCCACAGUCCCACUCGCCGUCGCCACGGUUCUCGCCGCCUCGCAUUCUAAAUACCACCCCUCGCCAUGAUUCGGCGGUUCUGAAUGCAGCAGCGCGGGCUCUCCUGUAACCGCCGCGCCCGGAGCUUCUCCCGAGCCCGCGUCGCCGUCGAGGGCUGUUAACCUCGCAACACCCCUCCCCAAGCAAUCAACAAACGAACGCGCGGGCACGCUGUGAUGGCCGCCGCCGCCGCCGCCGCUGUGAAUGGUAAGCGAUCGGCCCGUUGCGCGCUCAUUUCGCGUUUGAAUUGGUUUGAGAUAACUGUCGAGCACAUGGCGUGCAGGUUUCGUAUGAGGAUUGAGGCCUGGCGUUGACUGUGGGGACUGGGGACUGAUGGAUUCUGGCUGUGUGUGUUGUUGCAGGGAGCCUAGACGUGCAUGAGAGGAAGGCGCAGAGGAGCUACUGGGAGGAGCACUCUGGGGAGCUCACCCUCGAGGCCAUGAUGCUUGACUCCCGAGCCGCCGAACUCGACAAGGAGGAGCGCCCCGAGGUGAUUUAUCCCGCGACGAUAUUCUUCACUCGGUUUUUUUAAAAUUUUGGUUCGUAUGUUUGUGAUGCAUCUACUUGAACCUGAGGAUAUGAUAAUGCUCCUUUUGUGAUGCAUCUGUUUGUGAUUGUAGCCUUGUAGGAUUAAAACUUUGAUAUAUUAGUGCUUCUUUUUUUUUGUAGGUUCUGUCUUUACUUCCUUCUUAUGAAGGAAAAUCUGUACUGGAACUGGGAGCCGGAAUAGGUCGCUUUACUGGUGAACUGGCUAAGACAUCUGGGCAUGUUUUUGCAGUGGAUUUCAUUGAAAGUGCCAUUAAAAAGGUAAUGAGAUUUACACUUUCCCCUGAUGUAAAUAUUUUCAGGCUUGGUAGCUGAAAUUUGAUCGUUUUGUAGAAUGAAAGUACAAAUGGUCACUACGACAACACAUCAUUUAUGUGUGCUGAUGUUACAUCCCCGAACCUGAUGAUUGAAGCAAACUCCAUUGAUCUGAUAUUUUCAAACUGGUUGCUGAUGUAUCUUUCAGAUGAGGAGGUAAUGAUCAAACCAUACAUUAGAAUCAUAAACUGAUUCAAGGUCUAUUGCUAAAGAAAAAACUCAAAUCAACUUCUCGUGUGGAUAAGGUUACAUUUAUCAUUUGACCUGAAUUGGGAUAUGUUUGUCCUUCCAAUUUUUCUGACUGUCUCUCUUACUGUAGAUUGACAAGUUGGUAGAAAGAAUGGUAAAAUGGCUGAAGGUCGGUGGCUAUAUCUUCUUUAGGGAAUCUUGCUUCCAUCAAUCUGGAGAUUUAGAAAGGAAAGUUAACCCGACACACUAUCGAGAACCAAGGUUUUAUACCAAAGUGAGAAUGCAAACUUGCCUAGUGUCGUCCCCUUUUGCUUUUAUGAUUUCAGUCAAUUCAAAGUUUUUUUGUUCUUGCCCACUCCACUCUUUAGUUUUCUUAGUUGAGUACCAGCUUUCUUUGAAAUAGCUGAUAAUAUCUUUUCCCAUCUAGGUAUUUAAAGAGUGCCAAACCUUUAAUCAGGAUGGCACUUCCUUCAAACUUUCUCUGGUUACUUUCAAAUGCAUUGGAGCUUAUGUAAACAUCAAGAAAGAUCAAAACCAGGUACUUCUCUGUCCUCGCACAUGCACAUAGACAUGUGUUUCCAUUCCUGUGAAAUUAGUGAUGAACACGACUCCAUUGCUUCCAGAUAUGUUGGUUAUGGCAAAAAGUAAAUUCAUUAGAAGAUGGGGGAUUUCAAAGUUUUUUAGACAAUGUGCAGUACAAAGCCACUGGAAUAUUGCGCUAUGAACGUAUCUUUGGAGAUGGUUACGUGAGCACUGGUGGAGUUGGUGAGAGGACACAUCCCUUUUUGUCAUUUUUUGUGAUAUCAUAUUUGCAGUGCCAUUAAAUGUUAUUAUGUAUCACUAUCCACCAGAGACUACAAAAGAAUUUGUGGAUAAACUGGAUCUUAAGCCUGGACAGAAGGUGCUUGAUGUUGGUUGUGGAAUUGGGGGAGGUGAUUUUUACAUGGCUGAGAAGUAUGGUACCCAUGUUGUUGGUAUUGACCUUUCCAUUAACAUGAUAUUGUUUGCCCUUGAGCGUUCCAUUGGGCGUAAGUGCUCAGUUGAGUUUGAAGUCGCUGAUUGCACCACUAAGACGUACCCAGACCACAUGUUUGAUGUCAUCUACAGCCGUGACACUAUCCUUCAUAUACAAGUACGAUUUACACUUAAUGCAUGCAGUCUUUUUAUUCCGAGAUGUUAGAGCUACAUUUUGAUCAUGGAAAGUAUCUUCAUUUGGAGAUGUACUUAGAAACUCUGUCUUUUUUUUGGCUUAAAACAUCACAUGUUCAUGGCAUACCUAUAGUUGACUCUUUGACACUUUUUUUGCUUUUGACUCUGCAGGAUAAACCCUCCUUGUUCAAAAGUUUCUUCAAAUGGCUAAAACCUGGGGGAAAGGUCCUAAUCAGUGACUACUGCAAGAGUCCUGGGAAACCAUCAGAAGAGUUUGCAGCAUACAUUAAGCAGAGGGGUUAUGAUCUCCAUGAUGUAGAGGCUUAUGGACAGGUGGUUCUUAGGUCUUACCUUAUCUUAUUUUUGUUUGCAUGGUUAAUGCUUAACACAAUUGCUUUGAUCUAAAAGUAUAAUUCCGUUUGAUGAGUAAUAAACCUCUGUCAAAUUAUCCAGAUGCUCAAGAAUGCUGGUUUCAGUCAUGUCAUUGCUGAAGACCGAACUGACCAGGUCUGCCCAUCUAAACAUGCGCAAUCUGCAUGUUCAUAUUCUUGUGAUCUUGUCUACUAAGAUGCUUGGAUAAACAGUUUUAAUGACACACUAUGUGUUGUGUUUCAGUUCCUCAGUGUUUUACAGAAGGAGCUAGAUAAAUUUGAGAAGAACAAAGAUGAUUUCCUGUCCGAGUUUGCCCAGGUGAUUCGACAAAGCCCCUAAGAAGUUCAACGAUGAAAACUCGUAGCAAAAAUGAAAAUAUGAAAAGUUCAGCAAUGAACUGGCCGGCUCUCUUUAGAAGCCUGCAUUCUUUCUCUGUUGCUCUAAAUCAUAUCUAAAUCUUUGUUUCAUUUGUUAUCAGGGGGAUUACGAUGAUAUCGUGAAUGGAUGGAAAGCAAAACUGCAGAGGACCUCUGCUCGUGAGCAGAGGUGGGGGCUGUUCGUCGCCACCAAGUGAACGGUGAUGCCCAUGUGGCCUUACAAAUAAAAUGGCUUUCGCAGUUCACCGAUGGGAUUGACUUCAUAGCGUGAUUUUGCAUUAUUGAACUCUGAGAGCCUAUCCUAUUUCUUUGUGCUUUGGGACUGGUUUAACUUUACGGUCCUGUGAUCGCACUGAAACAUAGAGCGUGCUGUACUGAUGCCACCUUUCUGUGGAAGUGUAAUAAGCUCCACGCAUGGCUCGGCAUGCGGCUACAUGGAUGAUAUAUGCACAUGAAAUUUGGUAUUUCCAAAAGGAUUUUAAAAAUGAUUUUGCAUCUUGACCAAAGUGCAUAUAUAGAAGCAUUGAAGAUGUGCAUCAUUUUAAAUUUUUUCAAACUUAUGACUACGUGUUUCAAUAGAAUUAUUAUCACGAUUUUACCGAAACAAGAGAUUCACGCUGAAUAUUUACCCACCAUAUAUAUGUUUGUGCCAUAGUUCUUUUCUUCAUUUCAAGAUAAUGCUUCCUCUGUUUCAAAUUAUAAGUCACUUUGAAUUUUUGGAUCUAUGUUUAGAUAUAUAGCAAAGUGAAUAUAUCAAAAAAGUUAAAGCGAUUUAUAAUUUAGAACUAGUUUCUUGCCAAAUUAGCUGUAAGCGAAUUCCAGUGCUUCAAAAUAAGGGCAAAUUGUUUGCUAAGUCUGUCCAAAUUCAGCUAAAUUUUGGUAGGAAAAUGAAAGCCCCCCCGCAGAUCCCGAGGUGGAUCCAAAGCAUCCGGCCAAAGGACUUCCUUUUGUCCUCCACGCUUCUAUGUACACGUAUACAAGCAUACGGCUCAGUUUCAAAAAAAAAAAAAACAAGCAUACGGCUACUGCUUGAUAAUAAUUUCCCUCAGAGGACAGAUCAUGUCUUUUAUGGUCAGGGCUCUCAGUUUGUAAAUUUAAAUUCGAUUCUCCCUGUCUCUUCAGCGUGCACACGUGGGCUGCGGGCGGGGUGCUACUCAUCCAACGACGUGGUGACGAAUUUUCUAGGCACUGAUCGUGGCUCGUGAGGUGGAUUUCGCUUAGGCAGAUAGCUAGGCACACGUACGUGAAAGGCUCUCCUGCUGCCAUUGGUGCCAUUAGAUUAUGGUGAUGCACGCUAAUGGAUAGUAAAUAGUGCCAAACUGAGAAAACAAAGACAAGUAAAUAAAUAUUUUCUCUACAUAAAGCACUAGCUAAGAAAAAUAGUACCAAACUGAUGAACACAUGGCUGAUAUAAGCUAUCAUUCAUGUUAGUUUUGUUGAAACUUAUUGCAAGGUAACAACUAAAUUUCUUUGCAACUUGGUUCAUGUCAGUCUUCUGAAUUUAUACUCCCUUUGUUAAGUAAAUCCCCAUAUAAUUAAUCCCUAAAAAACUUCAACUCUACAAAAUCCUAUUUAAAAUUUCAAAAUGGUUUACUUUGUAGAAAAUUAUAAAUAAAAUAGAAUGUGGUCUCGAAAUCAAAAAAGAAUCUCUAUUGUAAAAUUUUGAACUACAAAUUCCUUAGUUAACAAAUUAGCCAAGAGUCAUCCAUGGAUUCAAAAAAAUACAAAAUAUGUCACUAUCUAGAUGAAUAUAAUGCAUUAUAUUGUAUUUCCAACUAACUACCAAGUGUUAUAUUAUAUCAUUGUUAAGCAAAUUCAAAACACUUUUUAUUCUUCUUAACUUAUAGGAAUAGAGAUUUUGGAGAAGAAAAUACCCUCAAAGAGUCUCUUUAAAUGGAUUUUCAAAUAUAGACAUCCUUUAUUUUGGAUUUCUCGCUAGCUAAAGAUGGAGAGUGAGAAUGACUCUCUAGAUUUAUUUUGUUGCUAAACUUUUUCUGAGUGUGGCUUCGAUUUUAUUCACCAUGCUUUUUGUAACAGACACAAUUUACAUAAGGUUAGGCAUGACAAACUUAAGCAACAAUCAAACCAGCUUUGAAUCGUCAAAGAGAUAGCCUAAAGGACUGCUUAAAAUCCCUUACAACUAAUAGUAUUUUUUUUGGAAACUUUCACUUCAUUCAUUAAGGCCUUGUUUAGUUCGCUAAAAUUUUCAAGAUUCCCGUCACAUCGAAUCUUUGGUCGCGUGCAUGAAGUAUUAAAUAUAGACGAAAAUAAAAACUAAUUGCAUAGUUUACCUGUAAUUUGUGAGAUGAAUCUUUUGAGGCUAGUUACUCCGUGAUUGGACAAUGUUUGUCAAAUAAAAACGAAAGUACUACAGUAGCCAAAAACCAAAUUUUUUGGGAACUAAACAAGGCCUAAACAGUGUUGUUACAAUCGGAUUGCAGACAAUUCUGUAGGAAGCUAAAAGGAUAUAACCAAACAUAAUUAUCUAAAAAAGAAGAUGAAUGUUGGGCACACAAGUGAGCUGUAAAAUUCAUCAAUCUUCUAGUGUGGAUGACCUGGAAGGAUGUAAAGCUAUAGGUCAUCUGCUCAACGGCGUCUAGGAUUGCAGUGAUCUUGGACGAGUGCUUCCUUCUGUUGUUCCACAGAGAAACCAGCUUUUGAGAAUUCGUCUCUACAUUGAUGCACUCCUUAGUAUGUGUUUGGUACGAGUCGUGCGCCAUCCUCAAAGUGCUUCUGCUUCUACCAAGAGGGCAGACCCCAGUGAUUCCAACCAUCGAGCCAAUACCGGAAGGAAAAUUUUCCACUAUUGGCUCGCAGAACCGCCCCUGUUGCACCCAUACUAGACUGUUGCACCCAUACUAGACUCUUGAGAAAACGUCCCAUCAAUGUUGAUCUCGAGGGUUUUCUCCUUUGGCAUUCGUCACUGCAUAUUUGGCACCAACACUCGCUCCUCGCUAUCUUGCUGGUUAUAGCCUGACAACUGACAGCAGGUCUUCAUCGCUCAUUCCAUUGCUGUAACUAGGUUGAUCAUCGUUUUACUAUACCAACUUCGCAGCUAAUGUCUUACCUACCAUCCAGCUAACAAUUAACUAUCACGAUUAAUUGUUAGCUAGGACUGGGAGGACAAGUGGCUCAACGAGUGCCACAGAUCAGCCAAAACGACAAAAAGAGAGGAAAAGAAAAAACCUCGCCGAUCCAGCAUGCACGCUGCGAGUGGCCCCACCAGGCACAGAUCUCACGGUCGAUCGGGUCUCCCGGCUCCCGGUUCCCGCCUAUAAAUGGCACCACCUAACCUUCGCUCCCUUCCAGGAUCCCGUUCCCAGUCGCAAGCCACUGGCCACAGCCACCGUCUCCCUCCUCCCCCAACCUCGCCGCGAUCAGGUGGUGGAUGCAGCAGCGCGGCCGCUCCUUCAACCGCCGCUCCCGGAGCUUCUCCCGCGCCCGCCUCGCCAUCGAGGGAUCUUAAUCUCACAGCCAUCCCUCGCUCGUUUCGUUUGAACUCGGUUCUGAAUUCCUGACUGACGAACGGACGAACGCACGCAACGAGUUACCGUGAUGAACGCCCCCACCGCCGCCGUUGUUUCUGUUAACGGUAAGCUAUUGCACUCCCACGCGUCGAUCCGUGCAGAGGGGAUCAGAUCUGCUCGUUGCGUCUUCGUGUUGUUGGGUUGGAUGGGGAGAAGUGUCGAGCACAUGGUGUGUGCGGUUUGCUUCCUUCGUGUUGAUGAUUUGUUUGCGGGGCGUUGCAGGGAAGAUGGGGGUUGAGGAGAGGCAGGCGCAGAAGAGCUACUGGGAGGAGCAUUCCAGGAACCUCACCGUCGAGGCCAUGAUGCUGGACUCCCGCGCUGCCGAUCUCGACAAGGAGGAGCGCCCCGAGGUGAUUGUUUCCGCGAUGAUGUUUUUCCCGUAUUAUCCAUUCCAUUGUUUGUUAUAAACUGUUAGUAUACCUUGUUUAGUGCCUUUUGGGAUCCAUCUGCUUGGAUCUGGGCUGGGCAGUAUGUGUCAGCCACACUCAACUUUUGCUCCGCAGUAUCACAUGGCUAUCUGUUAAGGGACACGUGUGUGGAAAUAAAGGGGGAUGCACUGGCCUGAUGUGAGAGGAUUACGUUGAUAGAUUUUUUUUGUUUCUUUUUCUUUUUUCUUUAAAGAGUGAAAAGUGAACUUGAACAAGAAAAUAGCCUGCUCACUUGAGGUUGUGACAGGUCUUUUAAUUUGUGAUGUGAAGUAUAACUAAUUUCUUAGCUAAACUCUAACAAACAAGGUAAAUGUUCUUUUUUUUUGAGUAUCUGAAUUUUGCUAGGACUUUUACUCUGAUGUAGUAAACUAUACAGGUACUUAUUAUGACUUGCACUGAUUAUUUUCCACGUUCUAGACUAGUAGACUGUUAAAGGGAUAUAUAAAAAAUCUGUCAUAAAGGCUAAUUUACACCAUGAUUUUAUUUAUUGUGUUUUAUGAUUAAUAUCUUGAUUUCCUUGUAGUUUGUAUCUUUAAGUGUUUUCGAAAGAAACUCAUAUUUGUUUGAUGCUUUUCUGUAAGCAUGUGUUGAUCCAUUUCAUGUUCUGACUAUGGUAAUUCUUAGUUUAAUUAACAUCUGCAAAGAAAAAAUAGGAAUUGAAAAUCAAAGCUUGCAUUUAUUAAUUAUUUGACUUAAAAAUUGAACCAGUUCUAUUUUAUUUCCAAGAACUGGGACAUAAUUAUGCUAUGCCCGCUGGUUGCUUGAAAUGAUAAUAAUUUUUUAUUUAGCAGGCAACAUUUUGACUUAUAAGAGAAGGUGUUGCUGAACGCACCUUGGCUUUUAGGGCUAAACAUUUUGAUAUGCUUCUGGUCCUUUUCUGUAGGUCCUGUCUUUGCUUCCCUCAUUCGAAGGAAAAUCUGUACUGGAGCUUGGUGCUGGAAUAGGCCGUUUCACUGGAGAACUCGCUAAAACAGCUGGGAAUGUUCUUGCUUUGGAUUUUAUUGAAAGUGCAAUUAAAAAGGUAUUGAAAUUUGCAAUGUCUUGAUAUAAAAGUUUUGUGCUUGCCAGCUUGAAAUAUGAUGGCCUUCAUCUGAUUUCUAUAUGUGUGUAUGGUUGUAUCAUUCAAUUCUUUUAUGCAAUUUUUUUCUUGCAGAAUGAAAGCAUUAAUGGUCACUACAAGAAUGCAUCCUUUAUGUGUGCUGAUGUGACAUCCGAGGACCUGGUGCUUCCAGCUAGCUCCAUCGAUCUGAUAUUUUCAAAUUGGUUAUUGAUGUAUCUUUCAGAUGAAGAGGUAAUGGAUGAGACAUGCUUUGAAUAAGUAACAAAUUCUAAUUCCAUAGUAUUUCCUUGAUCUUCUUGCUGAGAUUGUCCUUGUAAAAUGGAUCUGUUCAUAAAAAUUCUGAAGGGCACCUGUUUUCUAAAUGACUUAAAAUUGUUGUUCGAAUGUGCUGACUGAAAUAUAUUUUAAGUUUCUGGCUCUUGAACUUUCCAACUUUCGUCUCUUAAUGUAGGUUGAGCAGCUAGUUCAAAGAAUGGUAAAAUGGUUGAAGAUUGGUGGCUAUAUCUUCUUUAGGGAAUCUUGCUUCCAUCAAUCUGGAGAUUCAAAAAGGAAAGUUAAUCCGACACACUAUCGGGAACCGAGUUUUUAUACUAAGGUGAGAAAGCAUACUGUCCUACUGCUCUUCUCCAUUGCUUUUCACAAUCAGACAUUCAGGCUUGUGAGUAAAAAUUUCAACUAUUAUAUGAAGGACUGUUGCUUCCCUCUUUAUUUUUCUUAUUAGUUUCAAUACCAUUUUUUUGUAAUAACUAAUUGAUUGUUUAUUCCAUAAAUAGGUUUUCAAAGAGUGCCAUACCUUUGAUCAAGAUGGGAAUUCCUUCGAACUUUCUCUGGUUACUUGCAAGUGUAUUGGUGCUUAUGUUAAAAACAAGAAAAACCAAAACCAGGUACUUUUGUUUGUCCAUGCAUAUACACGUGUUAACCAUGGUCAACUGAGGUCAUUGAUGGAUAUGUCUCUAUGGUUUAUAGAUAUGUUGGCUAUGGCAAAAGGUUCAGUCUACAGAAGACAAGGGAUUUCAAAGAUUUUUGGACAAUGUGCAGUACAAAACUAGCGGAAUAUUACGUUACGAGCGCAUCUUUGGAGAAGGUUAUGUGAGCACUGGUGGAAUUGGUGAGUGCUGCAAUCCCUUUUAAUUUUAACUUGUGAUAUUCUAUUUGCAUUGUGCCCUUAAAUGCUGUUAUGUAUCAUUGUCCAACAGAGACUACAAAAGAAUUUGUGGAUAAGCUGGAUCUUAAACCUGGACAUAAGGUGCUUGAUGUUGGAUGUGGAAUUGGAGGAGGUGACUUUUAUAUGGCUGAAAAUUAUGAUGCUCAUGUUGUUGGUAUUGAUCUUUCCAUAAACAUGGUAUCAUUUGCACUUGAGCGUGCCAUUGGCCGCAGUUGCUCAGUUGAGUUUGAAGUUGCUGAUUGCACCACAAAGACAUACCCAGAAAACACAUUUGAUGUCAUAUACAGCCGUGAUACUAUCCUUCAUAUACAAGUAUGUUUCAAAUAUAUCCUGUUCCAGAUGUAUACUUUUUUCAGUGCAUCUUAAAGUUCUAAAUUAUAUGAAAUGAUACUUGUGACAUAUUUGUUUUCUUAAUCACAGACCCAACAUUAAAUGCUGCACGCGGUUUUGUUCAGAGUAACAUUGUUUAAGCUGACAUGAUUUUGCUUUUGUUUUGCAGGACAAACCCUCUUUGUUCAAAAGUUUCUUCAAAUGGCUGAAGCCUGGGGGCAAGGUCCUUAUCAGCGACUACUGCAGGAGUCCUGGGAAACCAUCAGAGGAAUUUGCAGCGUACAUCAAGCAGAGAGGUUAUGACCUACAUGAUGUGGAGGCUUAUGGACAGGUGCUUCUUACUUGCAUUUUUAUAUGUCUAUACUAGAUACAGUUACUUUGAUCAAAAUGCAGCACUGACUCUUGCUUGUUCGUCAUAUUAUCCAGAUGCUGAAGAGUGCUGGUUUUCGUGAUGUCAUUGCUGAGGAUCGAACUGAUCAGGUUUCUUUGUAACUAGCAUUUCCACUAAGAUGUUUGGUUGAAACACAAGUUUCUACUAUACUAAUCCAUGCUCUGUGUUGCAUUUCAGUUCCUUGGUGUUUUAGAGAAGGAAUUAGCUAAAUUUGAAAAGAACAAGGAUGAUUUCCUGUCUGACUUCACCCAGGUGAUUCAACAGAAGCCCUUAAGAACUCCAAAAUCAUGGACUCGCCCUUAAGAACACCCUAGCUUUUCUCUGUGGCUUUGACAUCUCUAACUCUGAAGUUCACUUAUAUUCCAGGAGGACUACGAUGAUAUUGUGAAUGGUUGGAAGGCAAAACUGCAGAGGAGUUCUGCUGGUGAGCAGAGGUGGGGGCUGUUCAUCGCCACCAAAUGAUGAUGCAGAUGUGCGUGGACGUGCAAGUGCAAAUAAAGCAUCCUUUUAUUAUAAUUGUUGUCGCCUUAGUUCUUCUGAAUCCAGGUGUUACCUGUUAGCCUGGGUUAGUACCUACUAUCCUGUUUAUUUAGUGCGUGGAGAAAACUCGUCCAGUUUUACAAUCCCGUGACUGCAUUGCCUGAGUGCUGUGGUAAUCCAUGAAUGAAGUCUAAAAAAGCAACAUAAGCUGUCUGCAUGUUUUAGUAUGUGGUCUUUUGAGUUAUGUGCUAUACUUAUGUAAAAUGCUGAAAUUUGGCUUAUGCUCCUGCUUAUACUGAUUUGUUGUAAAAGAAGAAAAACAUUAUUCGUUGGUUAAAAAGUAUUGUUGAACUUGUGGUGACGAAGAGAGCUUCAAUUUCUUAUUAAACAAAGCAUCAAGGUAGUGAAAUGCAGUGCGGCCUCGCUUUUGGAACCGAAGCGCAUGACUGAUCUCUUGUGCUGCUUGGUGGAAGCUAAGACAUUGGCAUGUGGAAGUACAUUUUAAUAUUUUAUUUUAUUUUCGCAAGGCCAAACACACGCGGAACAACCAGGCGACAGCUUGUUCCCGGCUGAACAUCGUCUGUGGCAGGCAUCUAGCGACUAGCCUGCGCAGAUUGUCACCUCACCACCACCUGCUUCACGUUUGCUUUCGCAUGUCGAGUAGAGGAAGCGGUUGAAUCCGCGGUCUGUUUCGUGAGCACCGAACUGACCAAUAUGGGUGACGACCAGCGAGUGGGGUGGACGUGGACAAGGCCCAGCGACAGGUGGCCUGGCCGAAGCGGCAAGCCAACGCGCGGAGCCUGAGCGACGACUUGAGAGGCUUGAGAGUACCAAGCGCAAGUCUGCGAGUGUGACGGCAUGUGCCGGGCAAAACCGCAGCCGAUCUUUUCUUUCCCUUUUCCUUCCUUUCCUUCACGGCCGCACUCGGCUGUUUAUUCAUCAGGUAGAGAGCCAUGGUAAUGGUAGGCGUAUAACCCACAGAUGCUCCAUCGUCAAUCAGCGUGCUCUGUCCUCCAGUUUGAUGGUUUCACCGCUGUAAAAGGACAUAUUACCCCGUUGAAGUUCUCUUCGUCGUCUCCCCAUCUAAUUCUUUAAUUAACCACAAGAGAUUCGAUGGCGAAGAUCGUUAUUUUUACUCCGAGUUCCACAUGCUAGGCCGACCAAACGGUGAGAUCCACGCUUGCACAUGCCCGCGGUUGUUUUAUCGUAGUAGUUUGCUGUAUAAAUUUGUAAGGUAGUACCGUAGUAGAAAGUCUCUGUUGCCACGAACAUCCUCUCGAAAGGAGCCUUGAGAGAGUACAAUAACAUACUGAAUUAUUGAUUCCUUCAUUCUUCACGUCGCAUAUCACGGCGAAAUCUAGAAAAGCAGGUCACGACGAAGGCAUAUGAUGAGCCCAAGCCAAAAAAAGCCCUCAGAAAUCACGAAGCGCGUCGACGGGGCCUAUGAUUGAUUCCUCCUCGAACCCCUUGGAUCAAUCAAAAAGUAGAUAAAAAAACAGAAAAGCUAUUGAACAAACGGUUGUUUUGGCGUGUUGCAGCAUCCGUUUUUUGGGCCGUUUGAUCUGGUUCGAUCGAUGUGUUUUGGGCCUUCUGAUAUUUUUUCCGUUUGUUUGGUCUGUCCUUGUUGGAUAUGUGAUGCUGACAUGUGGGGUCCAGUUGUCGGCGCCGCACUGUUUAAUUUUUUGGGAGUCGCGCUCAUUUAUUCGCUGUCGUUUCCCCUUUCCCCAUUUCGCUUCGUCUUCUUCCUGGCGAUUUGGCUCUCUCCGCCAUUGGCGACUCCUAGGGUUUGGAGAGGUAUGCUUAUUGUGCUUCAUUUCCUCAAGUUUUUGUCCAGCGAUUUCGAUAUCUGUUGUUUGUCGUUCAUCUGUGCGGCUCGGCGUUCUUCUCUAUUUACUCUGUUUUUUGCGAUUCUCUCCGAUCGAGCGCGAGUGCGCUGCGCGGACGGCCAACGGCCCGCUGCUUGCUGCACUACGGUCAGUCGCCCAGUCAGGCAGGCCAUGCGCCACUCCGUGUGGUGCGCCGUGCGCAUGGCUCACGGCGGCAGAUCUGGUCGCAGGCUCGCAGCGGCCGGGGACCAGGUCCCAGGAAGUUCGGUACGCCUCGGUCCACUGUGGAGCCUGUGCAUGGCGAGGAGCGCUGCUCUGGUGACGGUGACUAGACGAGUAGGAGGCGGACGGGAGUAAUUAUGGGGACAGGACGUUGUGCUUUUUUUUCUUUUUUUUUAUAAUAUAUAAUGACGCUGCACUUUUGGAAUCAUCGUGAACUAUUAUGGUUCUUUUAUUUUGUUUUGCCAAAUGUUAAUUGAGCAUGUAGAGUUGUGGAUAUGAUUUUAAUAUGUUUUAUGUAUGAAAUGAAUUGUAGGUUUUUUUUAUACCUGGCUGUUUUGUAUAUCAAUUAUGCUCUUUUAGUAUGCAUUGUGCAGUUUUAAUGUUUUUUUGGAAGUUAUGACAUGUGUAAUCUUUAGUAAAUUUAUAGUAGCGUAUUUUUGUAUCAAUAUUUUUCGUGAUUCUUACUGUUGUAUAGUACUUUUGGUGUAUACUUUGUUAGUUAAAGGUAUUUAUAGUUGCAUGACCUAUGUUUUUUGUUAGCUGAUAUUGUGAUAUUACUGUUUUUACAUGCUAGUAGUCAAUGUAAUUUUUUUCUUAUUUUACUGUAAUUUUAGUAUUUGAUUGUUAUAAGUAAAUAGGGGUACACCUUUUGAAUUGUGGUUAGGUCUUGAACUUUUUGCAAUGAAAGGCAGCUGACAUGUGUUUUUUUCCAUAAUUUUUAGAUGGUUCGAAAAAGGCCUCGUGGUGUUGUUGAUAUAUCUAGUCCUGAUAUUUCUGAGAAUGAAGAUUUGAAUGAUGUGCAGUGUUCUCAACCAAAUUUUAUGGAUUAUGAUUCAUUUCAGACUUCUUCGGAUGCUAUGGAUGUUUCUGAUGUUAGUGUUCUAUUUGUAUUUCUUUUUUUAGAUGUAUAUGUAUACUAUUUUAAAAACUUACUUCUAUUUAUGUUGCUUGCAGGGUGAUUCUUCUAGUGAUAAUUCAAGUUUUGAUCGACAUCUGUAUGAGAACUGUUUGAAGGAUGUAUGGUUUUUUUUCCUUCCGUUUUUUCCUUUGUAGUUAUAUUUUAGUGCUUUUAUUUACUAAAUUAAUUUAUUCUUUGUUCAGUAUGAAAAGGUUAGAAUUAUGAAGAGAAGGCUAAAAAUGGCAUUGAGGCAUAAGGUUAGUAUCUGUUCUUUUUAUUUAUGUUUGUGCAUUUUAGGUUACAUUCAUUUCUUGUUUUCUAAAUUUUAUGAAUAAAAUUGUAGGCUAAGAAGGUGAAAUCUGUAAAGAAGUCUAAGGCUGGUUUCACAAGGUUUUCUGCCACAGCUUUUAUGAAUGUAAUCUCCUCUUUGUCUCCUGAGAAGAAGGAUGUUAUUGCUAGCUAUGGUUUUGGUUCAUUGUUGCUGUUUGAUAAAUGCUUUGUGCCCAAUAGUUUGGCUAAGUGGGUUGCAAAUUUGGUGGAUUCCAAGUCUGGUGAUAUAGUUCAUGAUGGAAAGGUAAUCUCAUUGACUGAAGAAUCUGUUCAUCUGGUUCUUGAUCUUCCUAUUGGUACAAGGCCUUUCCCUUCUGAUCCUAGUGUUGGCAAGGAUUUUAUUUUAUCAAAGUUUGGGAAGUCUAAGAUUCCGCCGGUAUCUUUCUUUGCUGAUAAAUUGAUCAAGAAGGAUGAUUUGUCAGAUGAGGAUGUGUUUAUCUGUUUCAUGAUAGUUGCUUUGAGCAGUUUCUUGUGCCCCAAUACGAACACCAUUCCCAGUCCAAAGUACUUUGGUAUAUUUGAAGAUGUUGAUCACAUUAAGGAUUUCAAGUGGUGUGCUUAUGUGCUUCAGUGGUUACUUGAGCAUGUGAAGGCAUUCAAUGGUGGUAAAGAUGCUAAAGCAAAGCGUUGUUUGGGUCUUGGUGGCUGUUUGUAUUACCUUGCGGUAAGUUUAGUUUUUGCAACUAUAAAUAUGGUUUCUGUAUUUUAUUGUUUUGAAUAUUUUUUAUCUAAUUCUGCAUUAUAUAUUUUGUUCAUGGUUUGGUUAUGGCUUUUUAACUUAUAAGUUGUCUGGUCAUUUAUUUCUAGGUUGUUUGUAUUUAGUAAUUGAUUUUAUAUUUUUUGUUGUUAUUUGUUGCUUGUUUUAAUAGUUCUUCACUGUAAUAUAAUUGUUUAAUUUUUUUUAAGGUUGUUUACCUGGAUCAUAUUGAUUUCGGUCAGAGGCAACUUGUAGAUUCUAUUCCUCGAAUAUGUGUGUGGAAGGGUGAUUUGAUUAAGUUUUAUGCUAAUCUUGAUAUCAAAUCCCCUGGUGUUUAUGGUUACAGACCUUUGCUUCCCUUUGACAACACAUGCUACUACAAGGUGAGAUUUAUUAUUUGUAUUCUUUUUAUUUUUGAUUUUAUAUCUAAUCCAUGUAGUAUUUGACUAUGAAUUUUUAUUUUAUUUUUGUCAGUGUGCUCGUCUUAAGACUGUGGCUUGUGCUGAUGACCUUGAUACUGUUUUUUGUGAUAAAAUGGAAAUUGUUUCUGGUUGCAAGCUGCCUUUAUCUUUAAAGUUGAAGAUAUCUCAGUUGGUUGACAAGCAUUCUUUUAAUUGUGGUGGCACUGUCAGUCUGGAUAUCAAUUCCCUAGGGAAUGUAUCUAAAGAGUUCCAAGAUAUGUUUGCAAAGUUGAUGCGGCAUGUGUAUCUUGUCCUGUACUUGUUGCUUGCUUUGAUGUUGAAUCAUCUCUCUGUUUUCAAUACCUGAUGUGUGAUGUAACAUGUUUGUAUCAUAUGUACAUAUUCAUUUUGAAUUUUUCGUACCUGGAAGUUGUACAUCAAACUGAAGGAGUCCUGCCAUUGGUUUAUUGGAGUCAUUGUACUUGUUGUCCCAAAUGGAUAUGUUGUAAGGUAGCUGAAUUGUCCCUGUAAUUUCUUUAAUGGUUAUACAAAUUUAAUGUAGUAUAUUGAAUUGCUAUUAUAGUUAGGUUUGUUAGUUACCUCAUUCAGAUUUCCUCCCAAGUAUGUUGUUGGUAAUUUGGCUCUGUCUGUAGCUUCCUGUAAUUAUCAAAUAAGAAUUUGAUGUAGUAUUUUCAAUUGUUAUUUUCAUUAGGUUUGUUAGUUACCUCAUUCAGGUUUCCUUCCAAAUAUGUUGCUGGUAAUUUGCCUCUGUCUGUAUCUUCCUGCAAUUAACAAAUAAGAAAUUGUAAGUUCAAUGAGUAAUUCACUAUUUUGGCUUAGUAUUUCAAAUUCUAUCAGUUUUUGGCUUAGUUUUCUGAAAACUGGUGGAGAUAAUGCAACUUAAUUUGUUGGGGAUGUAUUAUUUCUAGUUCUAUGUGAUUGAAUUUGGUUUUUACCUGUGUUUUUUGUCCUUUAUCCCUUCCUUGCUGCCAGGGUUCGUCUGGAGGUUGCAUUGCCCCUGCUUCUUUCGGUUCCUGUA